rnacentral:tRNA from 1 species
GUGGGUAACAGCUCAGUGGUAGAGCGCUUGCUUAGCAUGCAUAAGGUCCUGGGUUCAAUCCCUGGAACCAACU